rnacentral:rRNA from 1 species
UACGAAGGGGGCUAGCGUUGCUCGGAAUCACUGGGCGUAAAGCGCACGUAGGCGGAUCGUUAAGUCAGGGGUGAAAUCCUGGAGCUCAACUCCAGAACUGCCUUUGAUACUGAAGAUCUUGAGUCCGGGAGAGGUGAGUGGAACUGCGAGUGUAGAGGUGAAAUUCGUAGAUAUUCGCAAGAACACCAGUGGCGAAGGCGGCUCACUGGCCCGGUACUGACGCUGAGGCACGAAAGCGUGGGGAGCAAACAGG